UGGGGAAUUUUGGACAAUGGGCGAAAGCCUGAUCCAGCCAUGCCGCGUGCAGGAUGAAGGCCUUCGGGUUGUAAACUGCUUUUGUACGGAACGAAAAGCCUCUUUCUAAUAAAGAGGGGUCAUGACGGUACCGUAAGAAUAAGCACCGGCUAACUACGUGCCAGCAGCCGCGGUAAUACGUAGGGUGCAAGCGUUAAUCGGAAUUACUGGGCGUAAAGCGUGCGCAGGCGGUUUUGUAAGACAGAGGUGAAAUCCCCGGGCUCAACCUGGGAACUGCCUUUGUGACUGCAAGGCUGGAGUGCGGCAGAGGGGGAUGGAAUUCCGCGUGUAGCAGUGAAAUGCGUAGAUAUGCGGAGGAACACCGAUGGCGAAGGCAAUCCCCUGGGCCUGCAACCUGGACGUUCAUGCACGAAAGCGUGGGGAGCAAACAGGAUUAGGAUACCCUGGUAGUCCACGCCCUAAACGAUGUCAACUGGUUGUUGGGUCUUCACUGACUCAGUAACGAAGCUAACGCGUGAAGUUGACCGCCUGGGG
rnacentral:rRNA from 1 species